AAGAUAAAGAUAAAGAUAAGGAACAUAAAGAUUAAGAUAAGGAUGAAGAUAAGGAAGAUAAAGAUAAGGAUAAAGAUAAGGAUAAAGAUAAGCGCAUAAAGAUAAAGAUAAGGAAGAUAAAGAUAAGGAUAAGGAACAUAAAGAUUAAGAUAAAGAUAAAGAUAAGGAAGAUAAAGAUAAGGAUAAAGAUAAGGAAGAUUAAGAUUAGGAUAAAGAUAAAGAAGAUAAAGAUAAGGAUGAUAAAGAUAAGGAUAAAGAUAAGAUAAGAAGAUAAAGAUAAAGAUGAGGAAGAUAAAGAUAAGGAUAAAGAUAAGGAUAAGGAUAAAGAUACGGAAGAUAAAGAUUAAGAUAAAGAUUAAGAUAAAGAUAAGGAAGAUAAAGAUAAGGAUAAAGAUAAGGAUAAGGAUAAAGAUAAAGAAGACAAAGAUAAGGAUGAUAAAGAUAAGGAUAAAGAUAAGAUAAGAAGAUAAAGAUAAAGAUGAGGAAGAUAAAGAUAAGGAUAAAGAUAAGGAUAAGGAUAAAGAUUAAGAUAAAGAUAAGGAAGAUAAAGAUAAGAGGAUAAAGAUAAGG